AGGCAGCAGUGAGGAAUAUUGGUCAAUGGGCGCAAGCCUGAACCAGCCAUGCCGCGUGCAGGAUGACGGUCCUAUGGAUUGUAAACUGCUUUUGUACAGGAAGAAACACUCGGACGUGUCCGAGCUUGACGGUACUGUAAGAAUAAGGAUCGGCUAACUCCGUGCCAGCAGCCGCGGUAAUACGGAGGAUCCAAGCGUUAUCCGGAAUCAUUGGGUUUAAAGGGUCCGUAGGCGGGUUUAUAAGUCAGUGGUGAAAGCCCAUCGCUCAACGAUGGAACGGCCAUUGAUACUGUAGAUCUUGAAUUAUUAGGAAGUAACUAGAAUAUGUAGUGUAGCGGUGAAAUGCUUAGAGAUUACAUGGAAUACCGAUUGCGAAGGCAGGUUACUACUAAUGGAUUGACGCUGAUGGACGAAAGCGUGGGUAGCGAACAGGAUUAGAUACCCUGGUAGUCCACGCCGUAAACGAUGGAUACUAGCUGUUCGGAGCAAUCUGAGUGGCUAAGCGAAAGUGAUAAGUAUCCCACCUGGGGAGUACGUUCGCAAGAAUGAAACUCAAAGGAAUUGACGG
rnacentral:rRNA from 1 species